UUGGUAAGUGGUUGCUAGGCUGUUGCUAUCAUUUCUAAAGUGGUUGCUAGGCAGUUGCUAUCGUUUCUAAGGUGGUUGCUAAGUGGUUGCUAACGUUUUCCUAGUGGUUGUUAAGGUGUUGCUAAGUGGUUGCUAGGCAGUUGCUAACGUUUUCCAGUUGGUUGCUAAGUGGUUGCUAGGCAGUUGCUAACGUUUUCCAGGUGGUUGCUAGGCAGUUGCUAAGUGGUUGCUAGGCAGUUGCUAACGUUUUCCAAGUGGUUACUAGGCAUUUGCUAAGUGGUUGCUAGGCAGUUGCUAACGUUUUCCAGUUGGUUGCUACGUGGUUGCUAGGCAGUUGCUAACGUUUUCCAGGUGGUUGCUAGGCAGUUGCUAAGUUGUUGCUAGGCAGUUGCUAACGUUUUCCAAGUGGUUGCUAAGUGGUUGCUAGGCAGUUGCUAACGUAUUCCAGGUGGUUGCUAGGCAGUUGCUAAGUGGUUGCUAGGCAGUUGCUAACGUUUUCUAGGUGGUUGCUAAGGUGGUUGCUAAGCAGUUAUUAGGUGGUUGCUAAGCCCUGGCUGGGGUGCCGGGGUGUCCAAACUUUUGACUGAUAGCUGCUCCAUACAGCAGCUCCUCCAUACACUCACAGUACUGGAGGAGCAGGGGAGAGAAGGGGUUCCGUGCGCAGAGCUGCUCGUGUGUGAGAUGGAACUCUGGGCCCCCCAUUCAUUUCUAUGGGAAAACUUCGUACGACAAUUGUACGAAAACCGUACGUCGUAUCACUUCGCAACCUGCUAUUAAUUUAAAGA